ensembl:lncRNA
GCUGCGGCAACGUUCUAAAUUCCACGAGGGCACGCCCACCUCCGCGCGCACGGUACGCGCUGUUGUAGUUUCCACUUCACCGAAAAAUCUGCCUGGCGACUGAGCAUGCCCAGUUCAACUAGUAAACCCCGCAAGCCACGGGAUCCUGGAGUUUCAUUGUUUUGUUGCUCCCUAUUUGGAUUGUUAUCAGUAGGAAGUGUGGGCCUUCGUAAGAAGGAAAAAGAGUAAGGAUGGACACAUUAACUUUAUAAGGAGGGGUCUUGGUGAAAAACCUUGAAGCUACUGCACAGCCCUAAUAAAUAUUCAUUGGAAGGACUGAUGCUGAAGCUGAAGCUCCAACACUUGGGCCACCUGAUGUGAAGAGCCAACUCAUUGGAAAAGACCCUGAUGCUGGGAAGGAUUAAAGGGAGAAGGAGAAGGGGAUGACAGAGGAUGAGAUGGUUCAAUGGCAUCACUGACUCAAUGGACAUGAGUUUGAGCAAACUCCGGGAGAUGGUGAAGGACAGGGAAGCCUGGCCUGCUGCAGUCCAUGGGGUCGCAAAGAGCUGGGCACAGCUGAAGCUCUGCUUAAGGGAGCAGUUGUCGAGACGAAGACUGGCCAUGUGUGUUCCUGAGUGACCACCUUGAGCAGAAUCUUCUCAAGUCCCCUCCAAUGGACAUGGGACACAAUAGAAAAGAAACCUCUUAUUUAAGCUGUUGAUAUUGGGGGGUGAGGAAACUUAGCCUCAGAGAGGGGAAGAAAUAUGAUAAAGAUCACAAAACUAUCAAGUGGGUUGCUGCUGCUGCUGCUGCUAAGUCGCUCCAGUCGUGUCCAACUCUGUGCGACCCCAUAGACG